rnacentral:rRNA from 1 species
GGCCGCGGUAAUACGGAGGGUGCGAGCGUUGUCCGGAAUCACUGGGCGUAAAGGGCGCGUAGGCGGUCUGGUAAGCGUGUGGUGAAAGGCUGGGGCUCAACCCCAUGCAUGCCGGGGAUACUGGGGAACUGGAGACAGGUAGAGGCCAGCGGAAUUCCGGGUGUAGCGGUGGAAUGCGUAGAGAUCCGGAAGAACACCGGAGGCGAAGGCGGCUGGCUGGACCUGAUCUGACGCUGAGGUGCGAAAGCGUGGGGAGCGAACA